rnacentral:rRNA from 1 species
GCUGUGACGUUAACUGCAGAAGAAGGACCGGCUAACUCCGUGCCAGCAGCCGCGGUAAUACGGAGGGUCCGAGCGUUAAUCGGAAUUACUGGGCGUAAAGCGCGCGUAGGUGGAUUGGUCAGUCAGAUGUGAAAGCCCAGGGCUCAACCUUGGAACUGCACCUGAUACUGCCAGUCUAGAAUACGGUAGAGGGUAGUGGAAUUUCCUGUGUAGCGGUGAAAUGCGUAGAUAUAGGAAGGAACACCAGUGGCGAAGGCGACUACCUGGACCGAUAUUGACACUGAGGUGCGAAAGCGUGGGGAGCAAACAGGAUUAGAUACCCUGGUAGUCCACGCCGUAAACGAUGUCUACUAGCCGUUGGGGGACUUGAUCCUUUAGUGGCGCAGCUAACGCGAUAAGUAGACCGCCUGGGGAGUACGGCCGCAAGGUUAAAACUCAAAUGAAUUGACGGGGGCCCGCACAAGCGGUGGAGCAUGUGGUUUAAUUCGACGCAACGCGAAGAACCUUACCAACUCUUGACAUCCUGCGAACUAGCUAGAGAUAGCUUGGUGCCUUCGGGAACGCAGAGACAGGUGCUGCAUGGCUGUCGUCAGCUCGUGUUGUGAAAUGUUGGGUUAAGUCCCGUAACGAGCGCAACCCUUGUCCUUAUUUGCCAGCACGUAAUGGUGGGA